AACGAACGCUGGCGGCAGGCCUAACACAUGCAAGUCGAACGCUCGUAGCAAUACGAGAGUGGCAGACGGGUGAGUAACACGUGGGAACCUUCCCUAUGGUUCGGAAUAGCCCAGGGAAACUUGGGGUAAUACCGGAUAAGCCCUUCGGGGAAAGGAUUUAUCGCCAUUGGAUGGGCCCGCCGUCGGAUUAGCUAGUUGGUGGGGUAACGGCCCACCAAGGCGACGAUCCGUAGCUGGUCUGAGAGGAUGAUCAGCCACACUGGGACUGAGACACGGCCCAGACUCCUACGGGAGGCAGCAGUGGGGAAUAUUGGACAAUGGGCGCAAGCCUGAUCCAGCCGUGCCGCGUGAGUGACGAAGGUCUUCGGAUUGUAAAG
rnacentral:rRNA from 1 species